rnacentral:rRNA from 1 species
AACGAACGCUGGCGGCGCGCCUAACACAUGCAAGUCGAACGAGAAGGCGUAGCAAUACGCUUGUACAGUGGCGAACGGGUGAGGAACACGUGGGUAACCUACCCUCGAGUGGGGAAUAACCAACCGAAAGGUUGGCUAAUGCCGCGUAAGCUUCCAUCUCUUCGGAGGUGGAAGGAAAGCUGUACCGUGGGUACAGCGCUCAAGGAUGGGCUCACGUCCUAUCAGCUUGUUGGUAGGGAACGGCCUACCAAGGCAACGACGGGUAGCUGGUCUGAGAGGACGAUCAGCCACACUGGCACUGCGACACGGGCCAGACUCCUACGGGAGGCAGCAGUGAGGAAUAUUGCGCAAUGGGCGAAAGCCUGACGCAGCGACGCCGCGUGGGGGAUGAAGGUCUUCGGAUUGU